rnacentral:rRNA from 1 species
CCUGACUGCUAUCGGAUUGAUACUAAGCCAUGCGAGUCUUUGCAGUAAUGCAAGGCAUACGGCUCAGUAACACGUAGUCAACUUACCCUAUGGACGAGGAUAAUCUCGGGAAACUGAGCAUAAUACUCGAUAGAUCAUAAUGCCUGGAAUGGUUUAUGGUUGAAAUGAUUCGUCGCCAUAGGAUGGGACUGCGGCCUAUCAGCUUGUUGGUGAGGUAAUGGCCCACCAAGGCGAUUACAGGUACGGGCUCUGAGAGGAGAAGCCCGGAGAUGGGUACUGAGACAAGGACCCAGGCCCUAUGGGGCGCAGCAGGCGAGAAAACUUUGCAAUGUGCGAAAGCACGACAAGGUUAAUCCGAGUGAUUUCUGCUAAAGGAAUCUUUUGCAAGUCAUAAAACCACUAGUGAAUAAGGGGUGGGCAAGUUCUGGUGUCAGCCGCCGCGGUAAAACCAGCACCUCAAGUGGUCAGGAGGAUUAUUGGGCCUAAAGCAUCCGUAGCCGGCUCUGUAAGUUUUCGGUUAAAUCCAUGUGCUCAACGCAUGGGCUGCCGAAAAUACUGCAUAGCUAGGGAGUGGGAGAGGUAGACGGUACUCAGUAGGAAGGGGUAAAAUCCUUUGAUCUAUUGAUGACCACCUGUGGCGAAGGCGGUCUACCAGAACACGUUCGACGGUGAGGGAUGAAAGCUGGGGGAGCAAACCGGAUUAGAUACCCGGGUAGUCCCAGCUGUAAACGAUGCAGACUCGAUGAUGCAUUGGCAUAUAGCCAGUGCAGUGUCGCAGGGAAGCCGUUAAGUCUGCCGCCUGGGAAGUACGUACGCAAGUAUGAAACUUAAAGGAAUUGGCGGGGGAGCACCACAAGGGGUGAAGCCUGCGGUUC